rnacentral:rRNA from 1 species
AGUGAACGCUGGCGGUAGGCCUAACACAUGCAAGUCGAACGGCAGCACAGUAAGAGCUUGCUCUUACGGGUGGCGAGUGGCGGACGGGUGAGGAAUACAUCGGAAUCUACUUUUUCGUGGGGGAUAACGUAGGGAAACUUACGCUAAUACCGCAUACGACCUACGGGUGAAAGCAGGGGAUCUUCGGACCUUGCGCGAUUGAAUGAGCCGAUGUCGGAUUAGCUAGUUGGCGGGGUAAAGGCCCACCAAGGCGACGAUCCGUAGCUGGUCUGAGAGGAUGAACAGCGACACUAGGACGAGACGCCGGACCAGACACGUGCGGGGGGCGGGAGGGAGGAAAAGGAGACAAGGGGCGCGAGACUGAUACCGCACAGCCGCGUGGGUAAAGAGGUGCGUGGGGUUGAUAAGUCUUGUUGUAGGAAGAGAAAAGCAGCAGGUGACCGCCCUGUUGUCCUGACGGUACCCAAAAAAAAAGCCCCGGCAAACUUCGGGCAAACCGCAGUGGUAAAAAUCA